rnacentral:rRNA from 1 species
CCUACGGGAGGCUGCAGUGGGGAAUAUUGCACAAUGGGGGAAACCCUGAUGCAGCGACGCCGCGUGAGUGAAGAAGUAUUUCGGUAUGUAAAGCUCUAUCAGCAGAGAAGAAACCCACCCUCCGGGGUGUCUGACGGUACCUGACUAAGAAGCCCCGGCUAACUACGUGCCAGCAGCCGCGGUAAUACGUAGGGGGCAAGCGUUAUCCGGAUUUACUGGGUGUAAAGGGAGCGUAGGUGGCAAGGCAAGUCAGAUGUGAAAACCCGGGGCCCAACCCCAGGAGUGCAUUUGAAACUGUCUGGCUAGAGUGCAGGAGAGGUAAGUGGAAUUCGUAGUGUAGCGGUGAAAUGCAUAGAUAUUAGGAGGAACACCAGUGGCGAAGGCGGCUUACUGGACUGUAACUGACACUGAUGCUCGAAAGCGUGGGGAGCAAACAGGAUUAGAUACCCGAGUAGUC